ACUCAAAUGAAUUGACGGGGGCCCGCACAAGCGGCGGAGCAUGCGGAUUAAUUCGAUGCGACGCGAAGAACCUUACCUGGGUUUGACAUCAUCCAAAAACUGUCAGAGAUGGCAGGUCCUUCGGGGUGGGUGACAGGUGGUGCAUGGCUGUCGUCAGCUCGUGUCGUGAGAUGUUGGGUUAAGUCCCGCAACGAGCGCAACCCUCGUUCCAUGUUGCCAGCGGGUUAUGCCGGGGACUCAUGGGAGACUGCCGGGGUCAACUCGGAGGAAGGUGGGGAUGACGUCAAGUCAUCAUGCCCCUUAUGUCCAGGGCUUCACGCAUGCUACAAUGGCCGGUACAAUGGGCUGCGAUACUGUGAGGUGGAGCGAAUCCCAAAAAGCCGGUCUCAGUUCGGAUCGGGGUCUGCAACUCGACCCCGUGAAGUCGGAGUCGCUAGUAAUCGCAGAUCAGCAACGCUGCGGUGAAUACGUUCCCGGGCCUUGUACACACCGCCCGU
rnacentral:rRNA from 1 species